GUGAAUCAUCGAAUCUUUGAACGCACAUUGCACUCCCUGGUAUUCCGGUGAGUAUGCCUGUUUGAGGGUCAGUUUAAAUAUCAAUCGGUGUGGUUGCUGCCUUCUGUGGUGACGCACGGCGUUUGGGUCGUCUUGGCUUCUGUUAAGUGCCCUUAAAUUUUGCAUGUUUUUUUUCGAACGUAUUUAAAUGCUUUUACGUACGUUUUCGCUAUCGAAUACUAGGUGUGGUCCUUCUCAUUAUUCGCGGAUCU
rnacentral:misc_RNA from 1 species